rnacentral:rRNA from 1 species
AGCGAACGCUGGCGGCCGGCCUAACACAUGUAAGUCGAACGAAGUCUUCGGACUUAGUGGCGGUCGGGUGAGUAACACGUGUGAAUGGGCCUUUCGGUUCGGAAUAACCAAGGGAAACUUGUGAUAAUACCGAAUGUGCCCUUCGGGGGAAAGAUUUAUCGCCUUUAGAGCGGCCCGCGUCUGAUUAGCUAGUUGGUGAGGUAAAGGCUCACCAAGGCUACGAUCAGUAGCUGGUCUGAGAGGAUGCCCAGCCACAUUGGGACUGAGACACGGGCCAAACUCCUACGGGAGGCAGCAGUGAGGAAUCUUGCGCAAUGGGCGAAAGCCUGACGCAGCCAUGCCGCGUGGAUGAUGAAGGUCUUAGGAUUGUAAAAUCCUUUCACCGGUGAAGAUAAUGACUGUAGCCGGAGAAGAAGCCCCGGCUAACUUCGUGCCAGCCGCCGCCGUAAAAC